rnacentral:rRNA from 1 species
UAAUACGGGGGGGGCAAGCGUUGUUCGGAAUUACUGGGCGUAAAGGGCUCGUAGGCGGCUAUCCAAGUCGGACGUGAAAUCCCUCGGCUUAACCGGGGAACUGCGUCCGAUACUGGUUGGCUUGAAGCCGGGAGAGGGAUGCGGAAUUCCAGGUGUAGCGGUGAAAUGCGUAGAUAUCUGGAGGAACACCGGUGGCGAAGGCGGCAUCCUGGACCGGUCUUGACGCUGAGGAGCGAAAGCUAGGGGAGCAAACGGGAUUAGAUACCCCGGUAGUCCUAGCCCUAAACGAUGAAUGCCUGGUGUGGCGGGUAUCGAUCCCUGCCGUGCCGGAGCUAACGCAUUAAGCAUUCCGCCUGGGGAGUACGGUCGCAAGGCUG